UACGUAGGGGGCAAGCGUUGUCCGGAAUCAUUGGGCGUAAAGCGCGUGUAGGCGGCCCGGUAAGUCCGCUGUGAAAGUCGGGGGCUCAACCCUCGAAUGCCGGUGGAUACUGUCGGGCUAGAGUGCGGAAGAGGCGAGUGGAAUUCCUGGUGUAGCGGUGGAAAUGCGCAGAUAUCAGGAGGAACACCCAAUAGCGAAGGCAGCUCGCUGGGACGGUGACUGACGCUG
rnacentral:rRNA from 1 species